GGCCCAGACUCCUACGGGAGGCAGCAGUGGGGGAUAUUGCACAAUGGGGGGAACCCUGAUGCAGCGACGCCGCGUGGGUGAAGGAGUGCUUCGGCAUGUAAAGCCCUAUCGGCAGGGAAGAAGCAAGACGGUACCUGACUAAGAAGCCCCGGCUAACUACGGGCCAGCAGCCGCGGUAAUACGUAGGGGGCGAGCGUUAUCCGGAUUCACUGGGUGUAAAGGGAGCGUAGACGGCCAUGCAAGCCAGGGGGGAAAGCCCGGGGCCCAACCCCGGGACUGCUCUUGGAACUGCGUGGCUGGAGUGCAGGAGGGGCAGGCGGAAUUCCUGGUGUAGCGGUGAAAUGCGUAGAUAUCAGGAGGAACACCGGUGGCGAAGGCGGCCUGCUGGACUGCAACUGACGUUGAGGCUCGAAAGCGUGGGGAGCAAACAGGAUUAGAUACCCUGGUAA
rnacentral:rRNA from 1 species